AGAAAGAGAACACAACAUUUCGGCCGUGGAGCCUUCUUCAGACUUCCAUGAGCCUGCAAGACCCCAAGGCAUGAUGUUUCACAUAACAGAAUUUCAAAUUUUAGGAGACAUUAUAAAAAAUAUACCAAAGGAAACCCUGACAUCUCACUAGACAGUAGUGUGAAGUAGUUGAUAGGACUUUACAACUGUGAGGAUUUUAAUCCCAGGUG